rnacentral:tRNA from 1 species
UCUCUUAUAGGUUAUUUUAAAACUGUUAGCUUGUGGUGCUGUAGAUCCUUAUUUAGGGUGGGGGAA